rnacentral:rRNA from 1 species
UGAAUGGUGGAACGAGGGCUUAACUGUCUCCCCUUUCAAGUCAAUGAAAUUGAUCUGCCCGUGCAGAAGCGGAAUAAAAAUACAAGACGAGAAGACCCUUUGGACUUAAGAUAUAAGAUCACCUAUGUCAAGAACUCAGUUAAACUAAAUAGCACCUGAUCCUAAUCUUCAGUUGGGGCGACCACGGGAGAAAACAAAGCUCCCAGCGGACUGGGAUAACCCCCCUAAAACCAAGAAAAACAACUCUAAGUCGCAGAAUCUCUGACCAAAAGAUCCGGCCACCUGCCGACCAACGAACCAAGUUACCCUAGGGAUAACAGCGCAAUCCCCUUUCAGAGUCCAUAUCGACAAGGGGGUUUACGACCUCGAUGUUGGAUCAGACAUCCUAAUGGUGCAG